GUUGGGAUGAGCUUAACUGUAUGUGAUGAAAAGGUUCAAGUUUGGGGUUGUACGGGGGAAAAUUGAAAAAAACAAGUGAAAAGCAUUGAGCUCAAAUGUUGUGAAAAGAAAAAUUCAUGAGAAAAAGAAAAGAAAAGAAGAAAAGCAUGAGAAAGAGCUCAAUGCAAAAGAAAAAGAAAAGGGAAGAAGUUGGGAAUGAGAGAGAUUGGUGAGGAAGAGAGUUGUGCUUAAUUGUUGAAUAUUGUGAUAGCUCUCUUGACUCAAGGAUUUUGUAUUCCAGAAAAAACCAAUUCUUUCUUGUUAGCCCAACCUCAUUACAAGCCUUGGAAAAGUCCUUUUGAUGACA
rnacentral:lncRNA from 1 species